rnacentral:rRNA from 1 species
AGUGAACGCUGGCGGUAGGCCUAACACAUGCAAGUCGAACGGCAGCACAGUAAGAGCUUGCUCUUACGGGUGGCGAGUGGCGGACGGGUGAGGAAUACAUCGGACUCUACUUUUUCGUGGGGGAUAACGACGGGAAACUUACGCUAAUACCGCAUACGACCUACGGGGGAAAGCAGGGGAUCUUCGGACCUUGCGCGAUUGAAUGAGCCGAUGUCGGUUUAGCUAGUUGGCGGGGUAAAGGCCCACCAAGGCGACGAUCCGUAGCUGGUCUGAGAGGAUGAUCAGCCACACUGGAACUGAGACACGGUCCAGACUCCGACGGGAGGCAGCAGUGGGGAAUAUUGGACGAUGGGCGCAAGCCUGAUCCAGCCAUACCGCGUGGGUGAAGAAGGCCUUCGGGUUGUAAAGCCCUUUUGUUGGGAAAGAAAAGCAGCAGGUUAAUACCCCGCUGUUCUGACGGUACCCAAAGAAUAAGCACCGGCUAACUUCGUG